rnacentral:rRNA from 1 species
AUACGGAGGGUCCGAGCGUUAAUCGGAAUUACUGGGCGUAAAGCGCGCGUAGGCGGCUAUAUAAGUCAGAUGUGAAAUCCCUGGGCUCAACCUAGGAACUGCAUUUGAAACUGUAUGGCUAGAGUAUGGUAGAGGUGAGUGGAAUUUUAGGUGUAGCGGUGAAAUGCGUAGAGAUCUGAAGGAACAUCAGUGGCGAAGGCGACUCACUGGGCCAUUACUGACGCUGAGGUGCGAAAGCGUGGGUAGCAAACAGGAUUAGAUACCCUAGUAGUCC